UCCCGGGAAGGGAUGGACGGGGGUCCCCAGGAACCGGGGGUGGAUGCCCGGGGGUCCCCAGGAACCGGGACUGUCCCGGGAAGGGCUAACCGGGGGUCCCGGGGGUCCCCGUGAACCGGGCAGCGUUUGGGGAGGGGGCUCCCUGGAUGUGGGGGGAUCCCGAGGGUCCCGGCUGGGCCCCCCCAGGUGCCCUCGGUGCAGGACACGGUGCAGGAGCACCUGGGACAGGUGAGGGCGGGGGGAGCCCAGGCCCUGCCCGAGCGCGACCGCGCCGAGCUCAAGAGGAGGAAGCUGCUCCUGGAAGUGACCCUCAAAUCCUUCUGGAUCCGCAAAGGCAGCGCCUUCAGCACGGCCGUGGCGCGGCCGGAGACGGAGCUGACCCCGGAGAUGAUCGCCACAGGCUCCUGGCGCCGCCUGCCCUUCAAACCCUACAAUUUCUCCUCGCUGGGGUUGCCCCCGGCCUGCGGCCACCUGCACCCGCUGCUGAAGGUGCGCUCGGAGCUGCGGCAGAUCUUCCUGGAGAUGGGGUGAGUGGGGGGCUCGGGGGGGCUCU